AAGGAUCAUUACAAAUCGAACCUUUAACCACCAUGUGAGAAUGUCGCGGUCCGGUGACGCAAGUCACCGGGCUGCACCACGUCAAACGAUGUCGAUUGUCAGAGGUAGCAGCUUAACCGCAAACAACUUUUAACAAUGGAUCUCUUGGCUCUUGCAUCGAUGAAGAACGCAGCGUAGCCACAUCGAUGUGGAAGUAAAAGUCGUAACAAG
rnacentral:misc_RNA from 1 species